AACUGAUACUACCUGCGGGAACCUGCGGAAGGAUCAUUAGAGAAUAAUUGACGCAGGGUCUUAGACCCUGUGUCAACUCACUCUAUUUCAACCCCUUGUGAACUGUCGAUCGGUCAAGAGUGUGUUCUGCAUAGUUUUGGUCGAGGGUGCUCUGCAAUUCGAUUUUGAUUUGCCACCCGAAUCACUUUUUGAAAACCAUAGUGUGUUGAAUGGCACGCCACAUGGCGAUUUGAAACACAA
rnacentral:misc_RNA from 1 species